rnacentral:snRNA from 1 species
GUGUAUAUAUGUAGAAAAAACUUGGAAUGAUAUAUAGAGAAGAUUAGCAUGGCCCCUGCACAAGGAUGACACGCAAAUGUAUAAAUCACUCCAUAUUUUU